UACGAAGGGUGCAAGCGUUACUCGGAAUUACUGGGCGUAAAGCGUGCGUAGGUGGUUCGUUAAGUCUGUCGUGAAAGCCCCGGGCUCAACCUGGGAAUGGCGAUGGAUACUGGCGAGCUCGAGGGAGGCAGAGGAAAGUGGAAUUCCCGGUGUAGUGGUGAUAUGCGUAGAUAUCGGGAGGAACACCUGUGGCGAAGGCGGCUUUCUGGGCCUUACCUGACGCUGAGACGCGAAAGCGUGGGGAGCGAACCGG
rnacentral:rRNA from 1 species